rnacentral:rRNA from 1 species
UACAGAGGUCUCAAGCGUUGUUCGGAUUCAUUGGGCGUAAAGGGUGCGUAGGCGGCGCGGUAAGUCGGGUGUGAAAUCUUGGAGCUUAACUCCGAAACUGCAUUCGAUACUGCGGUGCUUGAGGACUGGAGAGGAGACUGGAAUUUACGGUGUAGCGGUGAAAUGCGUAGAUAUCGUAAGGAAGACCAGUGGCGAAGGCGGGUCUCUGGACAGUUCCUGACGCUGAGGCACGAAGGCCAGGGGAGCAAACGGG